ensembl:lncRNA
GGAAAAGCGAUUUGGAAACAAAAACACCUGCUGCUCCUGCUGAGAGGAAGUGAGUGUAAAAACAGUCACAGGGUUUUCUAGACGGACUGUGAACCGCUGUGUUAGUGAGAGCGCGUGCUGUGAUUGGUCAGAAACGAGCCAAUCACAGAGGCCGGAGUUCUGUGACCUCUCUGUCACAGCGUGUGAUGAUCCUGAUGGUGAAAGCUGAUUGGCUGUAAACACGAGAGGUUAAAGAUGACGCCGCUGUGUGUUCAGUGAGGUAUUUUAGGAGAAACUGCUGAAGCAAAGUUGGUACUUUAAUGAAGUGUUUUGUCCUCAGUGUCCAGGUCUUGUUCUGUCAGUGUUUUCCGUCUGAUCCUCCGAUGGAUGCUCUUUUGAAAUGCUCUUCCUGGAGACAGGGGGUCUGGCUGCGCUCUGACCCAGAGGAAGAGGGGCCACGCGGGGCCACCGACCCCGUCCUGAGCCCAAGAGUCUGCACAGAGCCACACAAGGACAUGCAUCCAUCAGAGAACGGCUAAAUAAUAAUGCAUCAUAUUGCUGCCUUUAUUUUGGACUGCCUUCAUGUCAGGAGUGCAUCGGUGAUGCCUCAGGGCCAAACAUAUAGGAGCAGAGGACUUCAUAUUGACCAGAGGCUCGAUUAUCAGACGUGGGAUUGGGAUCACAGGCCAGCAGCAGCAGCCACGGAAAGUUUCCCAGUGAGGAUGGAGACGGAGCCGCUGAGGAAGUGGGGAGCCAUAUGGAGGAGAUCUGCUGAUUUUCCAAGUGUUCCAGAACCUGCUUAACUCAGACUGCAUCCUGUCUUGCUUUGGACUCACUAUCAAUAAUAUCCUCUGUGAGACUGUUAUCUGCAAUACAGAAAUCCAAUUCAUUCACUCAUUUUCUGCUAAAAAGUAUCACAAAAUUCCUUAAAUAAAAGAGUUUUUUCAUUUAUUUUGUUUAUCCUUACAAAGUGUAUCUUGAUGUGCAUGGUCUUUUAUAUCAGCAGUUUUGUUGCUACGUUUUGUAACACUUUAC